UACGAAGGGUCCAAGCGUUAUCCGGAUUUAUUGGGUUUAAAGGGUGCGUAGGUGGACUUGUAAGUCAGUGGUGAAAUCUUUGGGCUUAACCCAGAAACUGCCAUUGAUACUGCAGGUCUAGAGUACAGUUGCCGUUGGCGGAAUAUGACAUGUAGUGGUGAAAUACUUAGAUAUGUCAUAGAACACCGAUUGCGAAGGCAGCUAACGAAGCUGUAACUGACACUGAGGCUCGAAAGUGCGGGGAUCAAACAGG
rnacentral:rRNA from 1 species